GAUGAACGCUGGCGGCGUGCCUAAUACAUGCAAGUCGAGCGAAUGGAUUAAGAGCUUGCUCUUAUGAAGUUAGCGGCGGACGGGUGAGUAACACGUGGGUAACCUGCCCAUAAGACUGGGAUAACUCCGGGAAACCGGGGCUAAUACCGGAUAACAUUUUGAACCGCAUGGUUCGAAAUUGAAAGGCGGCUUCGGCUGUCACUUAUGGAUGGACCUGCGUCGCAUUAGCUAGUUGGUGAGGUAACGGCUCACCAAGGCAACGAUGCGUAGCCGACCUGAGAGGGUGAUCGGCCACACUGGGACUGAGACACGGCCCAGACUCCUACGGGAGGCAGAAGUAGGGAAUCUUCCGCAAUGGACGAAAGUCUGACGGAGCAACGCCGCGUGAGUGAUGGAGGCUUUCGGGUCGUAAAACUCUGUUGUUAGGGAAGAACAAGUGCUAGUUGAAUAAGCUGGCACCUUGACGGUACCUAACCAGAAAGCCACGGCUAACUACGUGCCAGCAGCCGCGGUAA
rnacentral:rRNA from 1 species